UACCAGCACCCCGAGUGGUCGGGACGUUUAUUGGGCCUAAAGCAUCCGUAGCCGGUUCUACAAGUCUUCCGUUAAAUCCACCUGCUUAACAGAUGGGCCGCGGAGGAUACUAUAAGACUAGGGGGCAGGAGAGGCAAGCGGUACUCAGUGGGUAGGGGUAAAAUCCGUUGAUCCAUUGAAGACCACCAGUGGCGAAGGCGGCUUGCCAGAAUGCGCUCGACGGUGAGGGAUGAAAGCUG
rnacentral:rRNA from 1 species